GGAUUGUAGCUCAGUGGUAGAGCGCUUACCUAGCACGGGCAGAGCCUGGGUUUGAUCCUCAGUACCA
rnacentral:tRNA from 1 species